GACCACUUCAAAAAGCAGAAGUGAUUAUGGUGGUGGGAAUAACCCUUUAGCCUUGUUAUACUCCCUUGCUGUCAGUGAGACCACUUGUCCUGCUAAUUGUGGUAGCUCAGUGUAGCUAAACUCAAGAGGAAUUAAUUGCUCAACACACCUGCCUUGCAAAAGAUGUCUCAUUGAGCUGCAUGGAGAAGUCUGUGAUUGGACAGACACAGAAAGUCUGGGCUAAGUAAGAAUGGGAG